GGCAGGUUGCCCGAGCGGCCAAUGGGAGCGGACUGUAAAUCCGUCGCGAAAGCUUCACAGGUUCGAAUCCUGUACCUGCCACCA
rnacentral:tRNA from 143 species